rfam:Gossypium raimondii chromosome 2, whole genome shotgun sequence.
GUGGCUGUAGUUCAGUGGAAAGAACUCCAUACCUAUGGAGGACAUGGGCUCGAAUCCCAGCAGCCACU